rnacentral:lncRNA from 1 species
UAUUUCUCAGCCACGUUAUUUUUUUUUUUUGAGACACAGUCUCGCUCUGUCGCCCAGCCUGGAGUGCCAUGGCGCGAUCUUGGCUCACUGCAACCUCUGCCUCCUGCGUUCAAGUGAUUAUCCCGUCUCAGCCUCCGGAGUAGCUGGGAUUACAGGCAUACACCACCACACCCGGCUAAUUUUUGUAUUUUUGGUAGAGACGGGGUUUCACCGUGUUGGCCAGGCUGGUCUCGAACUCCUGACCCCAAGUGACCCACCUGCCAUGGUCCCCCAAAGUGCUGGGAUUGCAGGCGUGAACCACCGCGCCUGGCCUCUCAGCCACAUUAUUGAUCUGCUCAUCAUGUCCUCCUUCCCCCCGAUCAUUGUCCCCAAGCUAACCUGAGCUUCCUAAAGCCCACAGAGAGCUUGCCAUGGCCUCGGGAACACUCAGACUCUUGCCUACUCCUCCAGCCUGGCGCUAAAGAGGCACCCCCCACAAAAAAUUUGCUGAAUAAAGGACUGAGUGAUGUCAUUGGGCCACAAUUGACUCCUGGGGCUCUCUUGUCCCUUCAACUCCACCUCUCAUCUGCAUGUGUGAACCUCCCAGUUGGACUGGAAAAAGGUUUAGCUCCUCUCUUUAUCCUGCAAGGAAGCUCUGCAGGAAACUCUCCAAGAGGACAAUAAGCCCCCUUGCCUUUGCAAAAACAUUUUAAUACCUGUUAUUUUCAGCUGAGUCCCGCACAGAUCGGCAGCACCGGUUUUGAAGGCCACGUGUACUCCAGAUUCUUGUCACCAACGGUACCACUGCUCCGCCUUGAAUGCUGUCUCCCCUGAGCUGUGAGUCCCAGGGCAGAUGCUACCCUUCUCACCCUGUGUCCCAGCUCCAGUCACACCCACUGGUCCAAUGUGGGCUGGCACAGAAGACUGCAGGCCUGGGGGUGCCCAGCACUGGGACUGGAGAUCAGAACACCUGACUUCAAAGUCUGGUUUGAGCACUUUCUAGCUGUGUGCCCUUGGAUGGGCAAACUGAGACCCCAAGCCCUGGAGAGAUGUGUUCAGACAGAUGUGCAAGUCCCCCCUGCUCCAGCCCACUGUGGCUCCGGGCUUCAGUCUUCAGUUGGCCUUUGUUCUGCCACUUUCUCCUGGAAGUCACGCCUCUCUCUCUUCCUGCCUCCCACAUCACAGGAGUCUGCACGCACCCAACCAGCUCAAAAGGCUCUGACAGAUGAUCCCUGCUAUGGCCCCAGCGUGAAGAAGCCAAGACUAGCCUGCUGGGUAAUGAGAGAUAGAUGGCCCAGUGAUUCCUGCUUCCUAGCCAAUAGCCAGCAAGCCCCAGAAGCAGAGCCACCUAGGUAAAUGGCAGAUGACUGCAGACACUUGGAGGAGCCCACCCAAGAUCAGCAAAAGAACUGCCCAGUUGAGCCUGGCCCAAAAUGCUGACCCUCAGAAUCAUCAGCUAAAUAUGCAAUUUAUAUUUUAAGCCACAGUUUCUUAUCCAUAGAGUGGAAGUAAUAAUAGUGUUUUCUUACUAGGGUUUUUAUAUAGAUUAAUUAGAGUAACUGAGACAUGUAAAGUUCUGAAAACAACACCUCGCACAAUAAAUGUUGAUUCUUCUUUUAUAAUAAUAAUCACCACCAUCUCCUCCUCCUCCUUCCACCAUAUUUCCAGAUAUAGAAAAAUCCACUUUGUAGUCUUUCUGCUACUGAAGAACAUUUAGAUUAUCUGUGUUUUUGCCAUGAACAUCCUUGUACUUGCCUCUUUGAGUGUUUCUGCAAGUUUGUCUCCAGGGUAGAUACGGAGAAGGAGAAGAACUGGAUCAUAGAGCAUAUGUGUCUUGAAUUUUAAAAGAUAUUCUCAAAUUUAUGCACCUCCCAGCAGCAAGGGGGCUCCCAUUUCCUCCACACUCACACCUGUACUUGCUGUCACCAGAAAUGCUGCCUCU